rnacentral:rRNA from 1 species
GAUCCUGGCUCAGGAUGAACGCUGGCGGCGUGCUUAACACAUGCAAGUCGAACGGGAAUUACUUUAUUGAAACUUCGGUCGAUUUAAUUUAAUUCUAGUGGCGGACGGGUGAGUAACGCGUGGGUAACCUGCCUUGUACAGGGGGAUAACAGUCAGAAAUGACUGCUAAUACCGCAUAAGCGCACAGGACCGCAUGGUCCGGUGUGAAAAACUCCGGUGGUAUAAGAUGGACCCGCGUUGGAUUAGCUUGUUGGUGGGGUAACGG